AGUCACUGACAUUAGUACCCCUGUAGUCCCAGCCGUAAACAAUGUGCGUUAGGUGUGUCGGUAACCACGUGUUACUGAUGCGCCGAAGAGAAAUCGUGAAACGCACCACCUGGGAAGUACGGUCGCAAGGCUGAAACUUAAAGGAAUUGGCGGGGGAGCACCACAACAGGUGGAGCCUGCGGUUUAAUUGGAUUCAACGCCGGACAUCUCACCGGAUAAGACAGCUGAAUGAUUGUCAAUCUGAAGGUUUUACAUGACUAGCUG
rnacentral:rRNA from 1 species